UUAACCUCGAUGAACCGCGCAGAGUGCAGUUUCACAUCGUGCUCGGGACCAGCGACGGCACCAGGUCGUGCACGAUUGGGAUGAGAAUAUCGAUGGCCGAAAAAGACAGCAAAGCGCCUCCUCCUAUCCAGCACAUCCAAGACUCAACACGGUGCAGCGAAGAAAUUAAAGAGAUCUUGCUGCAAAGCGUGCCCCAGCGCUCGUAAUCGAUAAUGUUGUGCGUGAAAGGGGAACAAAUCUUCCACAAUCCAGCACGCAAACGUUGAUGGCUUCUUGCACCAUAACUGAUUCGAUUCCGGCAAUCUGUCUUCUGGACAGAGAUCUGCUUUUACUCAAAUAAGGAACCACCACUUCAUUGCCACCAUAAAUCACCUCUUUUAGCCAAUUCUGAUCUGUUCCUGAUGGACGGAUAUACUCCGGAAAACGCUUCUCCACGGCUUCACUCCACUCCAAACUUCCAACGCUGACGUAGCGUUGGGCGUCGGCAGCAUGGCACGUUGUCUCGCUUGGCUCGCAUCACUAGAAGAACCCCGGGUAACAAGAACCACGGCUGCUUAAACACGUUUAUUUAUUUGACCUUUAGGCAAGAGGUCUUCCAAACACUUAACCCAAAACCGUUCGCCGCCUCAUCUUUUCCGCCAGCGCCAACCUUCAACGCAUCCCUCACAAAACCAUGAUCUAAUCGAUCACGAAUGCAUCGCGGCCAUCUUCGGCGGAGACGUGAACCCUCUGCUGUUCCCGAAACGCCUCUGCCGCGAAAUGUAAAAGCAUAAUGUCGAUAAUGUUUUCCGUGCCGAGCGACAUCCAACCAAAUGUCAACCACCCUCCACACCGAAUGACACCAGAUGUGUGCAAAAUGUUGAUGCUAAGGCUAAGGCGGAAAGAAUGCAUUAAACCGCAACCCAUAAGCCACACCAGCACCGUCAUGAUGGAGGGAUGUACUCUCGGCGAUGUUGGUGUAGAACAAGAAGAGAAAUUAAAGUGGCGAGAAAGAAACACAUGCCGAACGCUAAAAACUAUCCAAAGCGUAAAGACAAAAUGGGUGUAAGAGCGCAUGGAGCUCUAAGGCCACGAGGAAACGCGGCAGGGCCAGUGGAACGGUUUACGAAUUUCAUUAUCAUAUAAUCAAGUGGGUUUUGCUGUUUGCUGUUUGCCUUGUUCCAGGCACUAUAACUCUUUCGUUCACCCGGAGGUUUUGGAUUAUUGAAAUCGCGCUUCUUGUGCGCGCCGGAAGGACUGUGGUGAUGGGGAAGUUGCUGACGGUGGUAGAUGGCGAUGGAAGGCAGACACGCUGGCAACGCACCAUUCGCGAGUGGGUUGGCGCGCGAUGGAACCGUGAAGCAUAGCGUUCCUCUUACUAUUUCACUUCUUCAACCCCUCAUUAGAUUAACCGCAGAGGAGUAUGUAGAAGGGUACUCUGCUGGAAGAGUUACUCGAGGGAGCGCGAGUAAUAAAAAACAAUGAGCAUUUGUUUAUGAUUGAACCAUUGAAGCUAUUCGAC